CUCCAGUGUGAAGUACUUGACUUUCCUAUCGGGAUCAGAUUUCCCUGCUACACCAACAGAUUCAACGACCUCUAUAUUCUUUCUCUGUGUAGCUAAUUGGCGAGCAGCACCCUGAGAAAAAAUAAGAAGGCAAAGGUUUGAUGAUGUCCAAGAGAGGAGGAAAGACAUGAGGAAGGGGGCAACCAAAGACAAGUAGGGACAUCACCACUUCAUUUUCCAAAUGCAUGUCACAGUUUUCAAACAAUUACUGCACUUUAUCGUCUUCAUAAAUAAGAUGAGGCAUCUAAAACUAUCUCAGAUACUACUUAGCGAACCUGAAACUGCAAAAUGAAUCAACUUUCUAGUAACCAUCCUUUCAGUUGAGCACUUGAACUUCUAGAUUUAUUUUUCUUUCUAUUUUUAGUUAUAUAAUUUUUUUCCUUUUUUGGGUGGACAAGUUGUACUUCUAUACGCUCGUAUUCAUACAGAUACUAAUACACUUAUUCAUGAUAACUUCAACUCUUUAAAAGUUUCUUUUAGAUAAAGGACAGGGGACAAUUUAAUUCUUAAUCUCUAACUGUAACAUCAUUGCUUUACUCCAAAGGAGCUCUAUUCUCCAAAAGAUUCAUAGGAUCACUCUGUGAUGAACUUGCUUUCACCAUAAUGCAAUUAUUAUGCUAUUACAUGACAUGAAGCAAUAAUUAUGUUAGAAACAGUCUACUCAUUUGCUUGUAAUUGAGGUGUUUCCAUGUCUUCUAUCCAUAGUCCCUUUCAUUUGCUUAAAAGUUUACUGUACAUAUAAUAGUUUAAGGACUUGAGGUUAGAAAGAGGUUUGGAUAUUCACUGUUCUAGGAAAGUUCUACUAUUCUGGGACAUACUGUGACCAAAUAACAUAAUAAAAUUGGACAAAAAAUAUGUAAUUGAAAAUGGGUAAGUUAAGUUCCUAGGUCGUAAUUAUAAAGAAAAGACCUCAAUAGUUUACAACUAGAACAGAAUGCUUAUAGCUUUUCGUUCUUUGCACUAAGUUAUUAAUUACAACUAUGAGAGUAUGAUUGAAGAACUACCUAUAAGUCGAAAAAGCUCUACUUCCGAAGGUUUAUUAGAUGGAUUUUAAGGAUUAGAUAACAUCAUUUUUACCAAGCAAGAAAAUUUAGAAAGGCAAGCAAUUUGCUGAGAAGAAUAACCCCAAUGUCUAAUAGACGUGAAGGCAAACAGUUACCCGUUAGACUAAAGCACAGACAUGAACGAAUCAUACAAUUUUAAGUGAAAGCAGCACAAGCAUAAUCGGACAGAAGUAAAAGAAUGUGUUUAUAAAAAAUAUUACCAGAGAAAGAAAAAAGGAGAAGCAAAAUGAUUUUUCUGAAUAACUAAGACAACGAACAGCGAAGAUCGAACAUCGAUAGCAAACAUCGAACAAAGAAAAUCUCAUGGUUUCAAACAAAAAAUCAAAAUCUAACAAAUAAAUCCCCCAAUUUUGCAAACUAGAAAUCACAAAUGUAUCAUGUAACACAAAACAAAGUAGAAGCAAAAUAAUGUGUUUAUCAGAACUAUUACCAGAUAACGAAAACAUAAGGGGAAAAAGAAAGCGAAAAUUAAAUAGUUAUACAAACAUCAAACAGGGGAAAAAUCGAUAGCCUACUUCGGAGAUUGCUCGUAUGUUAGCCGAAACUGGUCGUCAUUCACCGAUAGUUGUCGUCCUUCGCCGGAGCUGGCCGACAGAGUUCGUCGAUGGUGAGGUCGAUGUGUUCUAGGUUGAGGCUGAGAGAGACGAUGUCUUCAAGGUUUAUCCUACCUCGGAGAUUGCUCGUAUGUUAGCCGAAACUGGUCGUCAUUCACCGGCAGUUGUCGUCCUUCGCCGGAGCUGGCCGACAGAGUUCGUCGAUGGUGAUGUGUUCUAGGUUGAGGCUGAGAGAGACGGUCUCCAAGGUUUUGAGAGUUU
rnacentral:lncRNA from 1 species